rnacentral:lncRNA from 10 species
AAGAAGGAAGGAAGGAAGGAAGGGAGGAAGGAAGGGGAAGGGAGGGAAAGGAAAUUAUGAGGUACACGGAGCACCAACCAGAUGCCAAGUUCAUGUAACCAAUAGAUCUUAGAUUCACACUGGGCCCAAUCACAGAGGAAGCAAUCAGUGGCUAAAGGUGACUAAGCACUUUAGGAAAUUAUCACCCUGGUUUCUCAAAUGGUAGGUCUGAUUAUAUUUUCACAUACUGGGUCACGCCUCAUGGUGGCACAGCCUCGUCCAUGAUCACCCCAGAGCUGGUGUGGGCCAGACACCAGAGCCUCCCUGGCUGGAGAAGGACUGUGAGAGACUAAUUGUCUAUGGAAAUGAAUGGUUACAGUCACUGGGCUCUCAAAACUGGAAUGCAAUUUAUAAAGCAGAGCAUUAUUAUUCCAAAACCCACAUUCUGCAGAGGAAGUGAAACUUCUCCAACUGGUGUGCCAGCAGCCCACCUUCCAGAGCCUACCUUCACGCCUCACAAGGAAACAGCUUGGAAAGGACUGGGGCAUACCAACAUGUUUACGGAAUCAGCCUUUGGCAUUGGAAUAGAUCCAGUUUCAAAUCUCUAGGCCACUCCAUCAUUUAACGGAUAGAGGUUGGCCAGGCGCAGUGGCUCAUGCCUGUAAUCCCAGCACUUUGGGAAGCUGAGGCAGGCGGAUCAUCUGAGGUCAGGAGUUUGAGACCAGCCUGGCCAACAUGGCAAAACCCCAUCUCUACUGAAACUACAUAAAAUUAGCCAGGCAUGGUGUAGCCAUGCGCCUGUAGCCACAGCUACUCAGGAGGCUGAGGCAGGAGGAACACUUGAACCUGGGAGAUGGAGGCUGCAGUGAGUUGAGAUUGCAUCAUUGAACUCCAGCCUGGGCAACAGAGCAAGACUCCAUCUCAAAAAAAAUUUUAAAAUAAAGGAUAGAGGUAGAAGAGGACUAAUCAAAGGGCAAAGAGGAGAAUCCAGAAGGCCUGGUGUUAAGAAAGCUAGGAAAAGUGAUAUUGCCUGUUGCAAAAUGGACAGAGAAGGCAGUGUGAGACAUUGCAAGGUGGAGCCUUUGGGAGGUCAUCAGGGUGGAGCCCUCAUAAGGAGAUUGGUGCCCUUAUAAGAAGAAGAAACCAGAGCCCUCUCUUGCUCUGCCAGGUGAGGACACAGUGAGAAGAAGGCCAUCUGCAAGCAGGAAUGGGUCCUCACUAGGAAUCAAAUCUGCUGGCACCUUGAUCUUGAACUUCCCAGCUUCCAGAACUGUGAGAAAUAAAUGUCUGUUUUUAAGCUACCC